AUAUUUUUGUCGUGUGAUCCGGUUUGGUCGUUAGAUACUCACGUUGAAUGUGAGUCAAAUGACCAAACCGAAUCGCACCACAAAGAUAUCAA
rnacentral:pre_miRNA from 1 species